GGGCUUGUCCACAGCUGGAGAGGCAGAGCCCGGGCUGUGUCUGUCACUCUCGGUGACAAGGCUGCACUGUGUGUGCCUGGGACUGCAAGGCCAUGGGAUCUCCCCUUUGUCCCUGCUUCAACUCCCAGCCCCUGGCCCUAAGCACAAGUGCGUCAGAGGCGUGUUUUCUUCUGAACCCAGCUGGGACAAGGUCAUCCGAGGGGAGGUUCCCUGUGCACAAGUUCAGUGCUCCUUGACCAGGAACUCGGCCAAAGGGCACAGGCUCACCCACCCCCUAGCUGCCUUCCCACCCAGACACAUGAGAAAAUGUCCCGUUAGCCCUUCCAGUCAUGCGAAUGAGGCCACGAUUGAUUCAAAGGCAGUGGGCAAGGAGGAGGCCGCAUGGAGCAGUCAGAAAGAACCAGCCCUUUGUGCUGCAGCAGGGUCCUUGGGGAUACUUUUGAGAGUGUUGUCAUCUAUCCAGAUGAACUGGGUGAUGCUCUUCUGCGCUGGACACUCAGCAUACGCUUCAAGCUCACUUGGUCUAACCUGGGACUUGGACCAACAUUCAACCU
rnacentral:lncRNA from 1 species